rnacentral:tRNA from 1 species
GCCUAGUUAGCUUGGUUGGUAGAGCGUCUGCCUUGUAAGCGCUAGGUUGCGGGUACGAUUCCAGCCCGGGGCG